rnacentral:rRNA from 1 species
GCGAGUGAAGCGGCAACAGCUCAAAUUUGAAAUCUGGCGUCUUUGGCGUCCGAGUUGUAAUUUGCAGAGGGCGCUUUGGCAUUGGCAGCGGUCCAAGUUCCUUGGAACAGGACGUCACAGAGGGUGAGAAUCCCGUACGUGGUCGCUAGCCUUUACCGUGUAAAGCCCCUUCGACGAGUCGAGUUGUUUGGGAAUGCAGCUCUAAAUGGGAGGUAAAUUUCUUCUAAAGCUAAAUACUGGCCAGAGACCGAUAGCGCACAAGUAGAGUGAUCGAAAGAUGAAAAGCACUUUGGAAAGAGAGUUAAAAAGCACGUGAAAUUGUUGAAAGGGAAGCGCUUGCAGCCAGACUUGCCUGUAGUUGCUCAUCCGGGUUUCUACCCGGUGCACUCUUCUACGGGCAGGCCAGCAUCAGUUUGGGCGGUUGGAUAAAGGUCUCUGUCAUGUACCUCCUCUCGGGGAGAACUUAUAGGGGAGACGACAUGCAACCAGCCCGGACUGAGGUCCGCGCAUCUGCUAGGAUGCUGGCGUAAUGGCUGUAAGCGGCCCGUCUUGAAACACGGACCAAGGAGUCUAACAUCUAUGCGAGUGUUUGGGUGUCAAGCCCGAGCGCGUAAUGAAAGUGAACGGAGGUGGGAACCUUUCGGGGUGCACCAUCGACCGAUCCUGAUGUCUUCGGAUGGAUUUGAGUAAGAGCAUAGCUGUUGGGACCCGAAAGAUGGUGAACUAUGCUUGAAUAGGGUGAAGCCAGAGGAAACUCUGGUGGAGGCUCGCAGCGGUUCUGACGUGCAAAUCGAUCGUCAAAUUUGGGCAUAGGGGCGAAAGACUAAUCGAACUAUCUAGUAGCUGGUUCCUGCCGAAGUUUCCCUCAGGAUAGCAGUAACGUUUUCAGUUUUAUGAGGUAAAGCGAAUGAUUAGAGGACUGGGGGAUGAAACAUCCUU